UUUACACUAUUAACUUACAUUUUACACCGUUGAAAUGGUGUGAGCGAGUACAACGUACUUUCAACAUAUUUUAAAUAAGUAGUCUGUUUCUGAUAUUCAUCUCAGCUGUAAGUGGAAAUAAUAUUUAUUUAUCAUCUACAAAGUUGGAUCAUAGCUGAAGACCGCAGUAGAAGAACUAAUUGCAGUUGACAUGUCUCUUCAAAACAAUCUUGAUGCAGAAGAGGAGAAUCCAGGAAUUUCUUUUGUUCAAGUAGAGUUGAAAGUUGAGCCUCUGGAUGUUGUGAGCAGCACCGAAGAUGACCCCAUCAACUUUCUGCAUGAGCACAUUGAUAUUAAGGAAGAACUAACCACAUCUGAUAUAAGUCAGGACCCAGAAAGUUUCAAUAGUAUUAACAGUUCAAAGAAACUAGCAGCAAAAAAAGGAAAGCAAAAGAAAAAAAUUAUGGGGCUGCAAAAAAAGGAAAGCGAAAGAAAAAAAAAUUAUGGGGCUGCAAAAAAACAAAUUAGUAGAGACUCCAGCUGUGACAGGUUAGUG